UCGGGACUCCUGGAAAAACAGCC
rnacentral:piRNA from 1 species